UAAACGAUGCAGAUUACAAAUUCAACAAACCCCAUCAAACCUUGUUAAGCGAAAAUUCACCAACAGAAUUUCUUUAUUAGAGUUAUCUGUAAUGAAAUAAUUUGAUAUAGAAUUGAUGUGAAAAAUUGAAGCUGCUGUUAAAUCUAGAGUCUCGGGAUUCAUAAUAAAAUAAAUAGAUAAAAAGAGUUUAUUAUUAAGUAGAACACCAAUAGCAACCAAGAAAGAAAGAAAAGAAAGACUUUGGAACUCUUUGCCACGUACACAGACAGCACAUAAAACCAUCACUCGGAGCGAGUCCCGACCAACGUCCAUAUUCCAUCUUCCCAAGUUCCCAACCCAAAAAAAAAAAAAAAAAAAAAAAAGCAAAAAAGAAAGGGAAAAUUACCGAUAGGUCCCGUUCUUAUUCGGGCAUUCACAUUGGUGCCCAACCCAAAAGCCCAAGCCCUCCUUCUCACAAAAUCUACAAUCUCGCUCUUCGACCGCCUCAAUUCCUUUCUACAAUCUGCCUUUCUCUCUCUCUAACACACACACUCUCUCUCUCGUUGGCUCUCUGUAAUUGCGAAUGCACAACCCUGUUGCUCUAUCUCAUUUUGUCCGAUGACCUAGUGCCUCCGGCGCCGGAGCAUCCACCGGCCGUCAAACACACGCUACGAUUCCAAUUCCGAGUCUCUGGGGACUUGUAUAGGGUUUUCUUAAGUGCUUCUGCGAUUUGAUUGCGACGAUUCAAUUAGGGUUUUUCCUUUUGCUUUCUAAGAUUGCGGCGUCCACGCCAUGGCUCCGGGGCGUAGACGCGGAGCGAACAAGGCCAAGGCCAAGAGCCAGUUGAGUCUCGGCGAUCUUGUCCUUGCCAAGGUCAAGGGCUUCCCCUAUUGGCCUGCCAAGAUUAGCAGGCCUGAAGAUUGGAAGAAGGUCCCUGAUCCUAAGAAGUAUUUUGUCCAAUUUUUUGGAACAGAAGAGAUAGCUUUUGUUGCCCCUGCAGAUAUUCAGGCAUUCACUAGUGAGUUAAAAGUUAAAUUAACAGGUCGGCUGCCAGGUAAAACAAAGAACUUUUCCCAAGCUGUGAAGGAUAUAUGUGAGGAAUUUGAUGAAUUACAAAAAAAGAAAUCAAAUGAUUUGAGGGAUGAUACUGACCCUGGAUGUGAGGUUCCGUCUGUUAAUGGUGUAGAAAAUAAUGGGGUUGAAGUCGAAUUAAAGGAUGGGGGUGAGGGUACGCAGGACUCCAAUGGAGAAACACUGAAGGAAGAAGAAGGCAUAGGUGAUUUUGGCUCUAAGUUGGAACGCUGUUCACAGAUCCGAGGUGAAAAUGGCAUUGAAGAUGUAAAUCCAUCUACCUCAUGUGGAGCAAAUGAGAGUUCAUCUCCAAUAAUUUCUUCUGAGACAAAAAAUAAAAUGUCUGCAGUUUCACAGCCAAAAAAGGAGGUAUUAAAGAAAUCCAACCCAGAUAAUUCUUGUAAUAUGAAGGAAGAUGUUUCCGGUAGUAAGCAUGAAGAAGAUGGUGUUCGCACUAAGAAACACUCUGAAAGACAGAGGUCCUUAGCAAAUGGUCACAAGUCUAUGAAGAUUACUGGAUCAAAGAGAAAACAUGAUGGCACAGUUGAAGGACACAAAAAUAGCUUUUCUGUGACAUCAUUGAAGGAGGAUGGCUCUGUCUUUCUUGAUCGCCCAAAAUCUGGUGAGCGACUGAGAGAUGGAACAAAAGGCAAACUCGGCUCUGGUGGCAGGAAAAGGGAAUUUUCACCAGAUGCUCGUAAAUCAGAUAGUGGUAUUAGGGGUGGGAAAAAGGCAAAAGAUCUGCUUAAAGCCAAAAAUCAAAUCGAGGCGGUAGAUGAUAUGAAGGACUCUGUGGAUGAUCCUGUGGAUCAGGCCAAAGACAAACUUUCUGGAAGGACAAAGAAGGUUCAACUUGGGCUUGGAAAGCUUAAUUUGGAAUCAAAUGAUAUUUCACAUCCUGCCAAAAAGUCAAAGCAUGUAGACUCAGGGGACAAUGCUCCACGGGGUUCAUUCUCUAAAACUGUAAAGAGUCUAUCUCCAAGUUCUGAUGUUGUUGAUGACAAGACAGUUAAAAAAUGGGAUUUGAAAAAGUCGAAUUCACGUGUGAAAGGAGAGAACCAUUCCAGAUCCCAAAAUAUUAUUGUUGGACCAAAUGCUCCUGGUGAUGAAGCUGCGCUACCCCUAACAAAGCGGCGUCUUCGAGCACUGGAGGCUAUGUCUGAUUCAGAUACUUUGGUUUCUGAUGAUAAAAUGGAAAAGGAUUGCAUUCUGAAGAAUGAUACUUUGAUUUCUACUGAUGUCAGAGUUUCAGCAGUUCAUACACACAGAAAGCGGAGAGCUGUGUGCCUCUAUGAGGAGGAAGAGGAGGAGGAAAAACCCAAAACACCGGUUCAUGGAGGGUCUUCCCGAAAUAUUAAAGGGCCUUCAUAUUCUUCAGAUGCUAUGAAGAGCACUGAUGAAAAUCAUGAGCGUUUGGAUACUGCUCAACAGAGUACCAAAUGUCCUGCUGAGUUUCAGGAGAGCCGCAUGAAGGAAUCAGGUUCCCAGUCAAACAGCAGUUCUCUGUCACCUAGCAAACCUCAGGCAGACGAAGAUAGACCGGAAAGGAAACCUCAAAUUGAUGAAAUGAGGCUUGAAAAGGCAGUGCAUGUCUACCACAGUCCAGCAAAAUCAGAACCCGAGCAGUUUUGCAAGGAGGAAAAACCGACUUUGACUUCUCCAAAAAAGUCUCCUCAGUUGGUUUCUACCACUAAACCAGUAGUAGAACAGCAGAAAUCCACAAAACCUCUUGUUAAAGUCUCUAGUACUGGUAUUCAAAAGAAGGCUCAGGCUGUGUCUGGCAAGAGUUCAGGUUUAGUUUCUUCUCAAAAUCAUGCAACAACUCAAAGAAAUAGGCCUGCCUCAUCUGGAGAAAAAUCUAAACCUACUCUACGAUCAAUCCCUCAUAUCAAUGACGCUGCUCUUUUAACAGAAAAUUCAACAGAGUACAUUUCAUUACCUGGUGAAAGAAUGGACGUUGGCAGAGAAGAUAAAAGUGGCUUGAUGGAUUCUAGGACCCCGGAAUCUUCUAUAUCUAUGAGGCAUCUUAUUGCAGUUGCACAAGCAAAGAGGAAACAGGCUCAUUCACAAAGUUUCUUUCUUGGAAUUUCCAAUUCUACUCUUGUGUCUAACAAAGAUUUGCAAGGGAGGAGCCCCAGCCCUUCUGAAGUUCAGGGGUUUUUGUCCACUAGCAGCAGUGCAUUGCAGGCGGAUCUCCCGGGAUCUAAUCAACUCACAAAUUUAGCUUCACCGUCUACUCAUGGUCGUCAAUCUGCAUCACAAAUUCAACUUGAUAUUGAGGAAAUCUCUGAAAGAAGAGUUAGUUCUGGGCAUCAAACUGCUGGAGGAUCACUUAGUGGUGGCACUGAGGCAGCUGUUGCUCGUGAUGCUUUUGAAGGAAUGAUAGAGACUUUGUCAAGGACUAAAGAAAGUAUUGGUCGUGCAACUCGUCUUGCCAUUGAUUGUGCCAAGUAUGGUAUUGCCAAUGAGGUUGUGGAACUACUAAUCCGAAAGUUGGAGGGUGAGCCUAGUUUUCAUCGUAAGGUUGAUCUUUUCUUUCUUGUGGAUUCCAUCACACAAUGCUCGCAUAAUCAAAAAGGCAUUGCGGGAGCUUCAUAUGUUCCGACAGUUCAAGCAGCAUUGCCACGUCUUCUAGGUGCUGCUGCCCCACCUGGUUCUGGUGCUCGUGACAAUCGUCGUCAGUGUCUUAAGGUUUUACGGCUGUGGAUUGAGAGAAAAAUCUUUCCCGAAUCUGUCCUUCGUCGCUACAUGGAUGACAUUGGGGUUUCAAAUGAUGAUGCAACUGCUGGUUUCGCCCUUAGACGUCCAUCUCGAGCCGAGCGUGCUAUAGAUGAUCCAAUCAGAGAAAUGGAAGGAAUGUUUGUGGAUGAGUACGGCAGUAAUGCUACAUUUCAGCUGCCUGGCUUUUUAUCUUCUCAUGCAUUUGAAGAUGAUGAAGAAGAAGAUGAAGAACUUCCUAGCUGUUCAUAUAAGGAGACUAGCCAUUCCUCACCGGUGGAAACCACUCAUGCUUCUGGGGAAUCAGAAACUUGUGCUGUGACUCCAAAUGAUAGGCGACAUUGCAUCUUGGAGGAUGUGGAUGGUGAACUUGAAAUGGAAGAUGUUUCUGGACAUCCAAAGGAUGAAAGACCCUCGUUUGUUAAUGGUUCUUUUGAAAGGGAUCCACAACAGCAGGGAUCAGAUACGGUCACAGAGCCAGCUUCAAAUGUUUGCAGUGAGUUGCCCCCUCUUCCAGAGGGUUCUCCACCAUUGCCUCUUGAUUCUCCUCCUCCUCCCCCACCUCUGCCUCCAUCACCCCCACCACCGCCACCCCCACCCCCGUUAUCCCCAUCACCACCGCCACCGCCACCCCCACCUCUACCAUCACAGCUACCUCCUCCUCUACCACCAUCAGGUCAUCCGCCAUUAUUUCCUCAGUCAUCUAUACCAACUCAGGCAUCAUUACUAUCCCAACAGAUGCUGCCAUCUCAGUCAACAAUGCAUUCUUCCCCGCAGGUGCCAUAUCAACUUCCUGUACCUCAUGAAUACUGUAGCACUAGUGGUAACCAGCUUGUCCAAAUUGCUGGAAAUGCUCCUCAUGGGGGCCCUAUUGAUGCGGCUGCAAAAAGCGAGAUGUUUCCACAGCAGCAAGCUUGCUUUAUUCCUACAGGAGUAUGUGGUCCUCGAGAACCUUCUGGAUUUAACUCAACGAGGCAAUUAGAACACGGACAUAAUGACAUGUUUCUAAGUGCACAAGUCUCUCAACCAAGCCAACAAUUUCAACAAGGUAAUACCCCUUUUCCUCAAAGGCCUUUACCUCCUGCUCCACCACAAAAUCCAUCCAGUCAUUUCUCUUAUACAAAGCCCUCGAGUCAGCAACAUCCCCAGCAUCCAUACCAUGCUCCAUACUCUUUGACUCCCCUCCCUGAUAGUCAAAGACGAUUUGCCGAUGAACAACGUGGUGUUUGGAUGAAUGGAGGAAGACCCCCACAUUCGGGACCACCAUUUGGCCAUGAAGGCUAUUUUCGUCCACCGCUUGAUAGACCGCCAACUAAUAAUAUGGCUUUUCAGCGUUCUGCCCCUAAUAAUGUACCAUCUGGAGCUCCAAUAUCAGGUCAUAGUGCUUCCCAGAUCUUGCCAUGUAGACCAGACAUAUCUGCUGUUAAUUGUUGGAGACCAGCUUAAUAGUGAAACUUAGCCCUACUUUAAUAUUCUUCAUUGACGGUGGCGUAUCAAUUAGCAACGUCACAUGAUGCUGUGCUUCAAAGUUGGAUUCAUUUUGUAUACAAAACCCUAGUACCACUUGAAGUCAGUGUUGAGAACUUGUGGAGGCUCUUGGCAGGACUGUGUAUAUUGUAAUUUUUCCUGACAAAUGUAUCCCGAGAACAUAUGCUUCCAAGUGUAUGCCCAUGUUUCUUUCUUGGUUUUGGCAAAAGAUUAAAACAGAUCCUUUUUUUGGGGUUUUGUCACUGACAAAGGAAAAGGAAUCCUACUUCCUGGCAGAUACACAUUGCUGUAAACCAUUCAGGUACAUAUUUGACAUGGAUUUUUGGACCAAGAAAAGGAUCAUAAAUAUUGUUAGUUGAGUACGGUUUUGAUGCAACUGUAUAUGUACCUGAAUGUUUUUAAGAAAUUACAGAUGCUUUAUAACUGCUGAAAGUUUUAUUUGAUAGUUCUUACAGAUGCUUUAAUAGCAGCGAUUUUUCAUUUAAUGCUCAAACAUCCGAUCCGAGCAUUUUUGUUUACAGUAUUAUGUUUGAUUAUAUUCUAUUGUACACUGAGCAUCACAAAAUGAAAGGAGGUUCUUUGACUGCUGUUGCUUCUGGUUUUUUUCGUUCUUUUUCCUUUAUCAUCUUUUUACCUUGAUUCAUUUUCGGUCUUUUUUUUCUUCUCGUUAUUUUUUGUUUAGAGAUUGGUUGAAAAUCUUUACUUCCACUGCCACACAUUUGGAGCUGGGGUUUAGGCCCCAGGCAUUGUUUUAUUUGAGAGGUCAGGUCAGGUCAGGUCAGGUCAGGUCAUGUUGAUACAAGUAUUUGUAGUAACGAGGGUAAAACAAUAUUUCAUUUCCUUUUCCUGCAUUCUCAACCGUAGAUAAUAAUGCGGGAGGCAGGCAGGCAGCAAGCAUGUCCACCUUUUGUUGCAUCUAAUAAUAUGAAUGAGUCAGUGUUUUCUGCUGCUCCCAAACAUUGUAACUCGGUUUUCAUUUGAAACGGACAUGAAGCUCAUGCGUAUACUAUUACUAACAUCAAUUUAUUUAUUCAUUUUUGUAAAUGAAAUUGGGCUAACUUUUAUGAGGCUGGAGAGCGAGAAGGGAUCCAUUUCACUCAUUGGAUUGGAGGAAGGUGUGUGAAACAUGUGUCUGAUUCUGAAGCCAAUAAUAACCAUAUGAAUAGGGCUUUUGGGGCUUAACAAUUCUCAAGUGUCGGUAUUGCUGUCACCUCCGCCAAUGCCAUGUGGGCAAGACGUCUAUGCAUCCAAACUUUUUUUUUUGCCGCUCAAAUUCGACUCUGGUGGUUGUGGUAAAUGAAUUAAUAACCAUCCCAUCCGCGCGAAAACACAUGAAUUUUGAUGGUUUUGUAGACUUCCUUAUCACCAAAUAUGGAACCGGGUAGGAUGGUGGAGGAUUUCAGCUGCGGACUGAAGAGAAACGAACGACGAGAGUAGACAAGUUCGGCACCAAUUUGUAAUUCAUUUCACUGCACGUGAUGUAUUUUCCUUUAGAAUUUCAGAUCGUCCAUGGACCAUGAGUCUUAUAUUUAUGACAACUCUUCCUUUAAACUAGUUAUUGUUUCCGACUAAAAAAAAAUACUAGUUGUUAUUGUAACACCACCACCCUCACCAUUUAUGGACUUACUGUCUCACUCGCGGCGGUACAGCCUAUUUGCUAAGCUGUA